rnacentral:rRNA from 1 species
GAUGAACGCUAGCUACAGGCUUAACACAUGCAAGUCGAGGGGAAACGGCAUCGAAAGCUUGCUUUUGAUGGGCGUCGACCGGCGCACGGGUGAGUAACGCGUAUCCAACCUGCCCAUCACUUGGGAAUAACCUUGCGAAAGUAAGACUAAUGCCCAAUGACAUCCCACGAAGGCAUCCGAAUGGGAUUAAAGAUUUAUCGGUGAUGGAUGGGGAUGCGUCUGAUUAGCUUGUUGGCGGGGUGACGGCCCACCAAGGCAACGAUCAGUAGGGGUUCUGAGAGGAAGGUCCCCCACAUUGGAACUGAGACACGGUCCAAACUCCUACGGGAGGCAGCAGUGAGGAAUAUUGGUCAAUGGGCGAGAGCCUGAACCAGCCAAGUAGCGUGCAGGAGGACGGCCCUAUGGGUGGUAAACUGCUUUUAGAAGGGAAUAAAGUGGGUCACGUGUGACUUUUUGCAUGUACCUUAUGAAUAAGGACCGGCUAAUUCCGUG